ensembl:lncRNA
GGAUGGCCCCACUGUGUGCAGAACCAGCCCUCCUGCCAGGAUGUCCAAUGUCAGAAGGGAACGGAGUGUGUGAUGGUGGAUGGUUGGCCACAGUGCGUCCAAAUUAAGACUUCCAUCAGGAGACCCACCUGUAGUGAUUUCCACUGUUCCAAGGGGACGGUGUGUGAGAUGGUGGAUGGAUGGCCUCAAUGUUUGCAACCCAAGGUGGCCCCAAGGCAGCCUUCUUGCAAGGACAUGCAGUGUCCCAAAGGGACCUCAUGUAGGAUAAGAGAUGGAUGGCCCCACUGUGUGCAGAACCAGCCCUCCUGCCAGGAUGUUCAGUGUCAGAAGGGAACGGAGUGUGUGAUGGUGAAUGGUUGGCCUCAGUGUGUCCAGACAAAGUCUUCCAUCAGGAGACCCACCUGUAGUGACGUUCGGUGCUCCAAAGGUUCAGUGUGUGAGAUGGUGGAUGGUUGGCCUCAGUGCAUUCAACCCAAGGUGGUCCCAAGGCAGCCUUCUUGCAAGGACAUACAGUGCCCCAAAGGGACGUCGUGUAGGAUGACAGAUGGGUGGCCCCACUGUGUGCAGAACCAGCCCUCCUGUCAUGAUAUCCAAUGUCAGAAGGGAACUGUGUGCCAGAUGGUGGAUGGUUGGCCCCAGUGUGUUCAAAUCAAGACCUCUAUCAGGAGACCCACCUGUAGUGAUGUUCGGUGCUCCAAGGGGACGGUGUGUCAGAUGGUGGAUGGAUGGCCUCAGUGUCUUCAACCCAAGGUGGCCCCAAGGCAACCUUCAUGCAGGGACAUGCAGUGCCCAAAAGGGACCUCAUGCAGAAUGACAGAUGGGUGGCCCCACUGUGUGCAGAACCAGCCCUCCUGCCAGGAUGUUCAGUGUCAGAAGGGAACCGUGUGCCAGAUGGUGGAUGGAUGGCCUCAUUGUGUCCAGAUGAAGAGUUCCAUCAGGAGACCCACCUGCAGUGAUGUUCACUGCUCCAAGGGGACAGUGUGUGAGAUGGUGGAUGGAUGGCCUCAAUGUUUGCAACCCAAGGUGGUCCCAAAGCAGCCUUCUUGCAAGGACAUUCAGUGCCCCAAAGGGACGUCGUGUAGGAUGACAGAUGGGUGGCCCCACUGUGUGCAGAACCAGCCCUCCUGCCAGGAUGUCCAGUGUCAGAAGGGAACUGUGUGCCAGAUGGUGGAUGGAUGGCCUCAUUGUGUCCAAAUCAAGACUUCCAUCAGGAGACCCACCUGUAGUGACCUACAGUGUUCCAAAGGUUCAGUGUGUGAGACGGUGGAUGGUUGGCCCCAGUGUGUUCAACCCAAGGUGGUCCCAAGGCAGCCUUCUUGCAAGGACAUGCAGUGUCCCAAGGGGUCCUCAUGUAGGAUGACAGAUGGGUGGCCCCACUGUGUUCAGAACCAGCCGUCCUGCCAGGAUGUUCAGUGUCAGAAGGGAACCGUGUGCCAGAUGGUGGAUGGAUGGCCUCAUUGUGUCCAAAUCAA